rnacentral:tRNA from 1 species
AACGCUGUUGCGCGUGGUUUCGCGCCCACCCCUUGGUAUGGGGUGGUAGAAGGUUCAAUUCCUUCCAGCAGCA